CCGCCUGGCCGCGGGAUUUCAUAGGUGANACCUGCGGAAGGAUCAUUGCCACGUAUCCAUUUUGAAACCCCAAUCUAACUGUGAGAUAGCCCCAAGGUGGUCUCGAGGGCAUUCUCUGUUGCGCGGUCGUCAGAUCGCGCUCGGAUUGUGCCACCCGUUCAUCUCUGAACUUUUUAACUCCGUCUUGUGAUCUAAAAAAACUUGUAAAAUACUUUUACAACUUUUAGCGAUGGAUCCCUCGGCUCGAGUAACGAUGAAGGACGCAGCAAAAUGCGAUAAGCGUUGUGAAUGGCAGAAUCCCGCGAAUCAAGAGAAUGCUGAACGCAUACUGCACUUUCAGGUUAUUCCUGAAAGUAUCUUCGUCUCAGGGCAUUUAUACUUUCAUGCGGGUAGUCUCAUGAGUUUGAGCUUCUCAGACCAUGCUGCCGGCGUUAGUGUGGGUCAGCGACGCUCUCUGAAGUCGUUGGCGCAUGAAAUAUAUCGUCAGCCACUCGCGCAUUCCGCUAGGUACUUAUUCACUCGUGAAUAUCCAUGUGGUACUGCAGUGCGUGCGCUGGUGAUCAACUUGCACGAAGAUGACACCCGUCGUCUUUUUGUUCAUGCAUGAGAUCGAAGAAGGCUACCCGCUGAAUUUAAGCAUAUCAAU
rnacentral:rRNA from 1 species